rnacentral:rRNA from 1 species
AUCUAUAACCAUACCACCCUGAACAUGCCUGAACUUGUCUGAUCUCAGAAGUUAAGCAGAGUCAGGCCUGGUUAGACCUUAGAUGGGAGAAAUACAGUAUGAACCACAGAUGUGACCUACAAAUGUAAUUAAUA